AACAUAAGGGGUGCUAUUUUAUGGCUGAGACUAUACCCGUAUAACCUGAUUCGGAUAAUGCCGACGUAGGGAAAUCGUGAUACUA
rnacentral:ncRNA from 1 species